UACAGGGGGGGGCAAGCGUUGUUCGGAAUUACUGGGCGUAAAGGGCUCGGAGGUGGCCAACUAAGUCGGACGUGAAAUCCCUCGGCUUAACCGGGGAACUGCGUCUGAUACUGGAUGGCUUGAGAUUGGGAGAGGGAUGCGGAAUUCCAGGUGUAGCGGUGAAAUGCGUAGAUAUCUGGAGGAACACCGGUGGCGAAGGCGGCAUCCUGGACCAACACUGACACUGAGGAGCGAAAGCCAGGGGAGCAAACGGG
rnacentral:rRNA from 1 species